rnacentral:rRNA from 1 species
UGGGGAAUAUUGGACAAUGGGCGCAAGCCUGAUCCAGCCAUGCCGCGUGAGUGAUGAAGGUCUUAGGAUUGUAAAGCUCUUUCACCGGUGAAGAUAAUGACGGUAACCGGAGAAGAAGCCCCGGCUAACUUCGUGCCAGCAGCCGCGGUAAUACGAAGGGGGCUAGCGUUGUUCGGAUUUACUGGGCGUAAAGCGCACGUAGGCGGACUUUUAAGUCAGGGUGAAAUCCCAGAGCUCAACUCUGGAACUGCCUUUGAUACUGGAAGUCUUGAGUAUGGAAGAGGUGAGUGGAAUUCCGAGUGUAGAGGUGAAAUUCGUAGAUAUUCGGAGGAACACCAGUGGCGAAGGCGGCUCACUGGUCCAUUACUGACGCUGAGGUGCGAAAGCGUGGGGAGCAAACAGGAUUAGAUACC